rnacentral:lncRNA from 1 species
ACGUUAAAUAAAAAUACGUUUUCUUAAUUGACUGAUCACCAAGACUCUAUAAUAGAUUACAUACAAGGUCGAGAAUUCUUAUUCAUCAGAAAUUAAAUAAAGGAU